rnacentral:lncRNA from 1 species
AAAUGCUCAUGUACUGUGCGUUGGGUGCACACUAAAAAUCCCCAAUUGGUCUAAAUUAUCUCGCAGUUCCCUACUACAGUGGGCCGCAUUUUCAGAUCUUGUUUUGGCACAUAAAACACUAGAAUUCAAUUAUUAUGGGAUCAAUUUUACUGCCCUUUGGAUCUAAUAGGUGUUUUCUUUCCAAGAGCCUUCUUUCUUGUGGCUGUGUUUGAGCCACAGUGGAAGAAUAGACUAGGUGUCUGAACAAGGCUGCCAUGCCAAUGGUCUUUUUGGUCAUGGUUUAUGUCUCUCUCGGCUCAUGGCACAGAUCAUUGGGUGAUCAACCACAGCAGCUGCAUGGUGUGCGGGGCUCCUUUACAAUGUGUGUAUGAAAGAGUCGCUAGUAAAUUAUGCCAUGUAUAAAUGUGUACUAAGCUUCUGGUGAGCCUUUGGGAAGCAAGCUUAGGUGUAUGUUCUUAAAUAUCUAAACUGAGUCGCCGUAUUCAGACCUCAGUGUGCUUUGCAACUCGUGAAAGUCCAGUGUAGAGACUAGCGAUUACUGGGGACCCAGAAAUAAAUAAUUUCAGAGGUUACUACACCACCAUUUCAGAGCUUUCCGACAUGGCUUCACGGGCACAGGUGGGACGAAGCACAGAAAGGCAGUGUCCGAGCGAUUCAUGGCCAUGCUGGAAAAUUUGCUCUUUGAAUUGUGCUUCUUAUUGCUAUUAACAUUGUAUUUAGGCUUUUUAAAGCAAAGCGUUCUUUUCCUUUGACUUUUACGCUGCUGCUGCCGCUGUCUUGCAAGCUGCAUCAGGGGGGUGAUUCAGAGCGUGCAUAUACAUGGAAGUAGCAGGGCAGAGAGGAUAGAUGACACAAGAAACUUGUUUGGACCUUUCCAUUGUGUCGCAUGUGCCCAGUGUUCUCUAGAGCUCCCCGGCCAUUGUCCCAUUCGCCUCUUGACACCUGUAAUCACCCAUUACCUCCCUCAAAAGUAUUGCAGAAACUGCACUGCUUACCCUUCUACUAAUGUGCAAGUCCUGAGGAGAGAUAGAGAGAACGGUAGGGAAGGGCUAGCAAGAAGACGCAGAGAAUGCGUAGAACCUGGUGCAGUCGCGAAACAAGUGAACAACAGCCUUGCCACUCUUAGCUCGCGUUUACCGUACAGGGGGAAAGUGCAGGACUGGGAAAAGGCGAUGUGAUAAGAUAGCGCUUCUACUAUGGAAACGACAGCGGUUGUGGGCAAACUGAAGGUACGGUACUCUAGGUUUCUACUAUUUCUGAAAAAUUAACAUAAUGGAAAUUUUCCAAGUAGACAGCUAACGCAGAGCAUUUAGAUUCAAAGCUACAUUAAAUUGCCAUAGGGUCUAGGUUACACUAUACUAGCGGUUGCAUGCCAAAUCAACACCUCUGUGCCCACAGUGCUAGUUAUACAGCUAUAGCAUUGCUCGACGUUGCAAGUUUAAUCCCCACCGCAGUAGCCAGAUUUCUGUGGAAGUGAAAUACUAAAAUGUCUGUGCACUUAAAUUGAGGUGCAUAUUAAAGGGCACCAGGAUAUCAAAAUUAAUCCGUAGUCUACCACUAUGGGUGCCUCAUAAUUCGAUUUUGGUUUUGCCACUUAUGGCCCGUAAUUCUGCCAACACUUCUGCUGCAAUGCGAUGUGCCAUGAGAAGCAAUGACAAUGCUCAAUCUUCUCACAGGUUAUAAACGAUGGCACACAACAAUGCUUCAAGUAAACACAUCUCCCUGUGUGUUCUGUGCACUAUGCAGACAAGUAGCAGUGGUGUACAUAAGGAUCAAAGCAUUCAUCUAGUGCAGCAACUACCGAGGAUGAGAAGUCACAGCAAGGACACCUCCACCACUGUGAUCACUGUGACUAUAAAACUAGAAAACCGUCCGAUAUGAGAGCACACGUUAGGGUCCACACAGGUGAGCAUCCCUUUCAGUGCCCUUUGUGGUCUUACAGCUUUUCA